rnacentral:rRNA from 1 species
GACGAACGCUGGCGGCGGGCUUAACACAUGAAAGUCGAACGAGUGGCGGACGGGUGAGGAAUGCAUGGGAAUCUAGCUGAUGGAGGGGGAUAACUACGGGAAAAUGGAGCUAAUACCGCGUACAAUAGGAUGAGCCGAAGUGGGAUUAGGUAGUUGGUGGGGUAAAGGCGCACCAAGCCGACGAUCUCUAGCUGGUCUGAGAGGAUGACCAGCCACACUGGGACUGAGCCACGGCCCAGACUCCUACGGGAGGCAGCAGUGGGUAAUAUUGCGCAAUGGGCGCAAGCUGAUCCAGCCAUGCCGCGUGAGUGAAGAAGUCCUUCGGGUUGUAAAGUCCUUUCGUUAGCAAGGCGUUACCUACAGAAUAAGCACCGGCUAACUCCGUGCCAGCCGCCGCGGUAAUAC